rnacentral:tRNA from 1 species
GUUUAGGUAGCAUAAGGAAUGCAAAGGCCCUAAGCCCCUAAGAUCGGAGUUCAACCCUCCCCUAAACU